CACGUAGCUCAGCAGGAUAGAGCGACCGCCUCCUAAGCGGUAGGUCGGAGGUUCGAAUCCCCUCGUG
rnacentral:tRNA from 1 species